CGGAACGGGUGAGUAAUGCGUGACACCUGCCCCAUGCUCCAGAAUAGCUCUUGGAAACGGGUGGUAAUGCUGGAUGCUCCAACUUGACGCAUGUCUUGUUGGGAAAGUGUUUAGUGGCAUGGGAUGGGGUCGCGUCCUAUCAGCUUGUAGGCGGGGUAAUGGCCCACCUAGGCUUCGACGGGUAGCCGGCCUGAGAGGGCGGACGGCCACAUUGGGACUGAGAUACGGCCCAGACUCCUACGGGAGGCAGCAGGC
rnacentral:rRNA from 1 species